rnacentral:lncRNA from 1 species
UCUUACUUAAACAUAUCACGUGCUUAGCUAAGAAACAGCAAACAGUCGGUUUGCCUAAAGCCAUAACACCUAUGCAGCCCGGGCGAGCUCAAUGUUACACGAAUCUUCCGAUAUCAUGAUCUUUAAAGGGAUAUGAGAUCCAUUUUCGUUUCGAAAAUUAUCCAUACUGUUUUCCGGAUGGUAUAAGUAUUAACGCCAGGG